rnacentral:tRNA from 1 species
AGGCCUAUGGUGUAAUGGCAGCACAGCGGUUUUUGGUACCGUCGGUCUAGGUUCGAAUCCUAGUAGGCCUG